rnacentral:rRNA from 1 species
ACUCUUAAGGCUGAGACACGACGUCGAGCUACUACGGUAGUGAAGUCAUUGAUGCCAUGCUUCCAGGAAAAGCCUCUAAGCUUCAGAUUGUAAGGAAUCGUACCCCAAACCGACACAGGUGGUCGGGUAGAGAAUACCAAGGCGCUUGAGAGAACUCGGGUGAAGGAACUAGGCAAAAUGGUACCGUAACUUCGGGAGAAGGUACGCUCUUGAUGGUGAAGUCCCUUGCGGAUGGAGCUGACGAGAGUCGCAGAUACCAGGUGGCUGCAACUGUUUAUUAAAAACACAGCACUGUGCAAAAUCGUAAGAUGACGUAUACGGUGUGACGCCUGCCCGGUGCCGGAAGGUUAAUUGAUGGGGUUAGCGUAAGCGAAGCUCUUGAUCGAAGCCCCGGUAAACGGCGGCCGUAACUAUAACGGUCCUAAGGUAGCGAAAUUCCUUGUCGGGUAAGUUCCGACCUGCACGAAUGGCGUAAUGAUGGCCACGCUGUCUCCACCCGAGACUCAGUGAAAUUGAAAUCGCUGUGAAGAUGCAGUGUACCCGCGGCUAGACGGAAAGACCCCGUGAACCUUUACUACAGCUUGGCACUGAACAUUGAACCUACAUGUGUAGGAUAGGUGGGAGGCUUUGAAGACGUGACGCCAGUUGCGUUGGAGCCGUCCUUGAAAUACCACCCUUGUAUGUUUGAUGUUCUAACGUUGGCCCCUAAUCGGGGUUGCGGACAGUGCCUGGUGGGUAGUUUGACUGGGGCGGUCUCCUCCCAAAGAGUAACGGAGGAGCACGAAGGUGGGCUAAUCACGGUUGGACAUCGUGAGGUUAGUGCAAUGGCAUAAGCCCGCUUAACUGCGAGAAUGACGGUUCGAGCAGGUGCGAAAGCAGGUCAUAGUGAUCCGGUGGUUCUGAAUGGAAGGGCCAUCGCUCAACGGAUAAAAGGUACUCCGGGGAUAACAGGCUGAUACCGCCCAAGAGUUCAUAUCGACGGCGGUGUUUGGCACCUCGAUGUCGGCUCAUCACAUCCUGGGGCUGAAGUCGGUCCCAAGGGUAUGGCUGUUCGCCAUUUAAAGUGGUACGCGAGCUGGGUUUAGAACGUCGUGAGACAGUUCGGUCCCUAUCUGCCGUGGGCGUUGGAAGAUUGAAGGGGGCUGCUCCUAGUACGAGAGGACCGGAGUGGACGAACCUCUGGUGUUCGGGUUGUGUCGCCAGACGCAUUGCCCGGUAGCUAAGUUCGGAAUCGAUAACCGCUGAAAGCAUCUAAGCGGGAAGCGAGCCCUGAGAUGAGUCUUCCCUGAUACUUUAAGUAUCCUAAAGGGUUGUUCGAGACUAGAACGUUGAUAGGCAGGGUGUGUAAGCGCUGUGAGGCGUUGAGCUAACCUGUACUAAUUGCCCGUGAGGCUUAACCAUACAACACCCAAAGGGUUUUG